AUGGAAUAUACGAAGCUGUUGCAGGAACUGACUUUGUCAUUAUUAGAGUUGCAUUUCAAGACAACUCUUCAAAGUACUACAUAAAUGACCAUGAGAGUAAUUUUACAGAGGUCACUAAGAAAUUGAAAGGAAAAGAGUGGACUUGGACAACAAUCGAUUUUUGAUUCUUCAGGGUGAAGUCGAGCAAAUUUCUCUAAUGAAGCCAAAUAUUUGUAUUUUCAGCAUUAUUGUAAUUGUAAUUGUAAUUGAUUGAAUGAAGGAUUGUAAUUGAUUGUAAGGAUUGUAAUUGAUUGUAAUUGUAAUUGAUUGAAUGAAGGAUUGUAAUUGAUUGUAAUUGAAUGAA